GAUGAACGCUAGCGGAAGGCUUAAUACAUGCAAGUCGAGCGGUAGGUGGCUUCGGCCAUUGAGAGCGGCGCACGGGUGAGUAACGCGUACAUGACCUGCCUGUCAGAAGGGGAUAGCCCUGGGAAACUGGGAUUAAUACCCUAUGGUAUUGAUAUUAUGAAUGAUAUCAAUUAAAGUUGAGGCGCUGACAGAUGGAUGUGCGUCUGAUUAGCUAGUUGGUAGGGUAACGGCCUACCAAGGCGACGAUCAGUAGGGGGCGUGAGAGCGUGGUCCCCCACACGGGUACUGAGACACGGACCCGACUCCUACGGGAGGCAGCAGUAAGGAAUAUUAGUCAAUGCCCGCAAGGGUGAACCAGCCAUUCCGCGUGGAGGAUGAAGGCCCUAUGGGUUGUAAACUUCUUUUAGAUGGGAAGAAAAUGCUAGAUGUAUCUGGUACUGACGGUACCAUCAGAAUAAGCAACCGGCUAAACUCCGUGCCAGCAGCCGCGGUAAU
rnacentral:rRNA from 1 species